AUGAGGCUGCUACUGUUUAAUGCCGAAGGGUUCAUUAGCUGUGUGGAGACCUUUUAUUAUGGUGAUGAUGACAAACAAGAUCAAGCUGUCAAUUUUGAAUUAAAGAGAUUCCAGAAUAGAGAAGGAUCAUUUGCAAAGAAGCUUGCGAGGAGUUGUCAAAAUUUUGAUUAUAAUGCAGCAUCUUGGUGGAGGCUCUAUGGAACUGAAGCACCAGCUCUACAAAGGAUGGCUGUGAGAAUCCCCUCAUUGACCUCAAGUUCUUCAGUCUGUGAAAGGAAUUGGAGUACCUUCGAAUAUAUUCAUACGAAGAAAAUAAAUAGGUUAACUACAUAA
rnacentral:rRNA from 1 species